GAUUAGGAGCCAAUCAGCGGGCCCUCCAGGAAGUCAAGGCUCAGGGGUGGACCGGGAGCUUAGCUUCCGGUGGCAGGGUCUGGGGAAGGGGCGGCAGGCGCCAUGUCCGGCCGCGAAGGUGGCAAGAAGAAGCCCCUGAAACAGCCCAAGAAGCAGGCCAAGGAGAUGGACGAGGAAGAUAAGGCAUUCAAGCAGAAGCAAAAAGAGGAGCAGAAGAAACUUGAGGAGCUAAAAGCGAAGGCCGCGGGGAAGGGCCCCCUGGCCACAGGUGGAAUUAAGAAAUCUGGCAAAAAGUGAGCCGUUCCUGUGGCUGGGGCACUGGCGAUCCUUCAUUCCCUUCCUGCUUUAACAUCUGGGUUCCCUGCCGUAACAUCUCUUGCCACCUGUAGCUAGAAUGAAGUGUCAUCUGGGAGCCUGUUGUACAUUUAAGAAUAAACUUUUGUAAAAAAUAA